GACGAACGCUGGCGGCGUGCUUAACACAUGCAAGUCGAACGGUGAAGCGAGUGCUUGCACUCGUGGAUCAGUGGCGAACGGGUGAGUAACACGUGAGUAACCUGCCCAUCACUCUGGGAUAAGCACUGGAAACGGUGUCUAAUACUGGAUACGACCAACCCUUGCAUGGGGUGUUGGUGGAAAGAUUUAUCGGUGAUGGAUGGACUCGCGGCCUAUCAGCUUGUUGGCGGGGUAAUGGCCCACCAAGGCGACGACGGGUAGCCGGCCUGAGAGGGUGACCGGCCACACUGGGACUGAGACACGGCCCAGACUCCUACGGGAGGCAGCAGUGGGGAAUAUUGCACAAUGGGCGAAAGCCUGAUGCAGCGACGCCACGUGAGGGAUGACGGCCUUCGGGUUGUAAACCUCUUUCAGCAGGGAAGAAGCGAAAGUGACGGUACCUGCAGAAGAAGCACCGGCUAACUACGUG
rnacentral:rRNA from 1 species